rnacentral:lncRNA from 1 species
UUUAACUAUAUUCAAAUACAUUAUAUAUAUAUAUAAUGUGUUUUUGUGCGUAGAACACAAAUCUGGCAGAAAAAAGUGUCGCUCUGCCCCGCGAGACAAGAUAUUAAUCGUUAAAGUUCACUAUUUAACAAGUUAUGAAACCUGUUAUACCGACGAAAUGUUGCGACUGAACAUGGUUCCGUGGUUCCGUAGCCAUAUAUUUUGACAUAUUUUGACUGAAAGAGAAUUACCCAGCAAACACAGAACAUAGCAGCAACAUUGCGGCAAUGUUAUAACAUUGUAGCAACAUCACAGCAAUAUUACAACAUGUUCUGUGUUUGCUGGGUAAUAUAUUCUCAGAAAACGCGUGAGCGGGGAGGGGCGGAGCCCCUCACCGUAAUUUUUUCUAACCUAAUCUAACUCACGCAUUUUAAAGUCGAUAUUUGGUUAAUGUAUAUAUAAUGUACUUAAAUAUAGUUAAAAGCAUUAAAAUUAACUAAUAAAACUCGACGUGCAUUAGAUGAGUUGUAGAAAUUUUGAAACAUUUAAUUACAAAAUACAUAAGAAUACGUAGUUUCAAAAAAAUCAGAGGUAAGUCAUUUUCGGAACUUUAUCCUAAUUUUUUUUUCUUAUAAAUAUUUUAUAAAUAUUUUGUGCUACCUGGAAAAGCCCUGUUCCAAUACUGACGACGUGACGACUGAUGUACAUACGUAUCGCAUUUUUGUGCAUACCGAAAUUUUAUAUCACAAUACGUGAUGGACAAGGUUAAAUUCCCCGUAUUAGUGGAUCAUUUAUUAAUAAAAAUAAGGCUACUGUUAUCCAUGUUUUAUUGUCCAUUGCGACCAUAGUUUCAAUAACAUCCCUUUUCGUUUCACAUCAAACGCAUCAAAAGCCGUUCCGUUUCCAAGAACGCAUAGGCGCAUUAACGAAAACGGAACGAUAUCAAUGCGCGCAGCGCAUUGGCUGUGAUCUAUGCACUCAAUGCGUGAAACGGAAUGGACCCUAUAUAAGCAGAGAGAAGCCUGAGAGCGGCCACCACGGCCUUUUUCGUGCGACCGAAAUGUGAAUGUAGCAUCAGCGCCAAACGUGGAUGUACCACAUCCGCUUUUCCUGUCAAUAAAAUCGUUUGUUUGGUGUGCGUCCGUGCUACAUUCACGUUUAGGCCAAAGGGUAACACAUAUGCGCACAAUGCUGGUUGUGUUCCGUGCUAUGUGGACAAAUGUCGGUAACAGAGUUAUUGAUUUUUCGUAAUGUGUGCGAGCGAGAAGAUACAAGGGCGAACGAGACAUUCAAUAAGAACAAGCGAAACAGUAAAAGGAGCGAGCGAGAGAUCAACAAGAAUGAAUGAGAUAGUAAUAGAAGUGAGCGAGAUGAGAAAAAUAGCAGCAUGCUGAAGCCCGAGAAUCGGAUCGAGCUUCCUUGCAUGUUACUAUUCUCAUCUCGCUCGCCUCUCUUACUGUCUUGCUCACUCGCGUAAUGCGAUAUAUACAUAUAUUAUGUUUUUGAGACCGACACCUUUUUUAGUUAGAAAAUUUAGAAUAUUAACAAAUUAUUAUCUUUAAUAUGAAGAGGCACGGUAGUGCCUCGCGCAAAGUGUACGUGCGCGAGGCACUGCCGUGCCUCUAUUUACGCGAGACGCCGUUUGCGAAAUUCCGUAGAUUAUCAGAUCUCAAUAACGGCUAAAUCGAUUGAUUUCUAUAUAAGCUUAAUGGAUAGCUUGCAUCCGAUUUAUAUAACAAAAGUGUGUUUAUUUUUCCGCUACGUGACUUACGAGCGAAGAUAUUGCGAUUUAAAAUUUCGCAUCAAGAGUAAAUUUAAGAAACAUCGUCGUCAUUAUUAUUGUCGUCGCCCGGGACAGAUGGUGGGGAUUUGUACUUUUGCUUUUCGCGCGAUAAAUGGUUACGGACGUGACAGGGGCACGAGAAUUGACAGAAAGUGCAUGUUCGUAUCCGCGAAAGAACAGAACGAGAAAUUACGUGUCUUGAUUGGCGGUCGAAUCCGUCUGUUGAGGUAAUGAUUAAUCCGCGGCAAAUUUCACGGCGGUGAUGUGACAGUUCGAGAUUAGUGACGUGUUGACAGUGAAAGGCAUAUAAUUAUUACAUUUCCAAAAGUAUCCCACCCACGGAUCUCAUGGUUCACCCUGAUUUGCAUUCAAUAGAGGUAUCAAAAAUAAAUGUAUCCUAAAAAUUCUGCAAAUAUUUAAUAAAUAAUUCAUUUCAUAAUCGUUUAGGGACCGCUACGUGAUGUCUAUCGACAUGUACGCAGAAGGACAUAUACAACUUACUGCGUUACUGCGUUAUCAUUGAUAAUGCUUUACGGCGGCAGCAGGUUCUCGCAAUGAUCUACAAGAAAUUAUUACACAUUGCUUCGUCUUGAAAAAUGUAUGCGUUUUCAGUAAUUUUUUUGUUAUGCGGAAAGAAGAAACUAUAAAUUAUAUCUUCAUAAAUAAUUAAACCGUUUUAGAUAACCUUGGCAAUUAUUACGCUCACUCUGACUAUUAUGAUCACAGAAUUGGGCAGUUUUACAUUCUUUGACAUGACAUGCAGUAGCAAUGAACCUGAAGCUGACGGCUGCGAUGUAGCAGCCGACCAGGGACGAAUACGGGCCCUCCUCCUUAAGAUAAUGACAACUAUCUCAAAUCAGAACCUUUUUUUUUAAAUUUUGUAUACAAGCUUUCUAAUGAUGUAAAAGAAGAAUCCAAUACGAGCAGCCGCGACACAAUUGCAAAUAUUAAGUUAAAUAAACAAUUAAAGUUAAAAAAUUAUGAGUAUUUUGGCAAAAUUUGCUAUAACAUCUGACAGCAAGUUGCGAUCGACUUAAAAUUUUAUAUACAAGCUUUCUAAUGAUGUAGAAGAAAAAUCCAAACGAGCAGCCGUGAUACAAUUGCAAAUAUUAAGUUAAAUAAACAAUUAAAGCAGUUUCAUUAGAAAGCUUAUGUAUAAAAUUUUAAGUCGAUCGCAACUUGCUGUCGCUACAGCAAAUUUUGCCGAAUUACCCAUAAUUUUUCAACUUUAAUUGUUUAUUUAACUUAAUAUUUGCAAUUGUGUCGCGGCUGCUCGUAUUGGAAUCUUCUUCUACAUCAUUAGAAAGCUUGUAUACAAAAUUUAAAAAAAAGGUUCUGAUCUGAGAUAGUUGUCAUUAGGUUUGUUUUUAUUCCUGAAAGACAACGAUACAGAGUCAGAAGUCAUGGAGGAAAAGAAGCGAGUCGAAGAAUACAUGAAACGUAAAAAAUAGAAGAUAAAAAUUAUUUAUUACAUUACUUGCGUUAAAACUUAUAAAUUUAGAAUGCAAAUACUUUUUUAUUAUUAAAUAAUUUUUACUUUUACUUAAAAUCUCAAUAUUUAUAUAUUGCAAAAAGAAAUGAGAUACCUGUCACUACAAAAUAAGUGAAAUCCCCACAAAA